rnacentral:rRNA from 1 species
GGUCACUGCUAUUGGGAUUCGACUAAGCCAUGCGAGUCGAGAGGGUUCGGCCCUCGGCUGACUGCUCAGUAACACGUGGAUAAUCUGCCCUAAGGUGGAGGAUAACCUCGGGAAACUGAGAAUAAUACUCCAUAGGUCUAAGAUGCUGGAAUGCAUUUAGACUGAAAACUCCGGUGCCUUAGGAUGAGUCUGCGGACUAUCAGGUUGUAGUCAGGGUAAAGACCUGACUAGCCUACGACGGAUACGGGUUGUGAGAGCAAUAACCCGGAGAUGAUAUCUGAGACACGAUAUCAGGCCCUACGGGGCGCAGCAGGCGCGAAAACUUCACAAUGUGCGAAAGCGCGAUGAGGGAAUCCCAAGUGCUUGCACGUAAGUGUAAGCUGUUUCUUUGUUUAAAAAGCAUAGAGAGUAAGGGCUGGGUAAGACGGGUGCCAGCCGCCGCGGUAAUACCUGCAGCUCAAGUGGUGAUCGUUAUUAUUGGGCCUAAAACGUCCGUAGCCGGUUUAGUAAAUGCCUGGGUAAAUCGUGUAGCUUAACUAUACGACUUCCGGGUAGACUACUAAACUUGAGACCGGGAGAGGCUAGAGGUACUCCUGGGGUAGAGGUGAAAUUCUGUAAUCCUAGGGGGACCACCAGUGGCGAAGGCGUCUAGCUAGAACGGGUCUGACGGUGAGGUACGAAGCCCUGGGGCACAAACCGGAUUAGAUACCCGGGUAGUCCAGGCCGUAAACGAUGCAUACUAGGUGAUGGUACGGCCAUGAGCCGUAUCAGUGCCGUAGGGAAACCGUUAAGUGUGCCGCCUGGGAAGUACGGUCGCAAGGCUAAAACUUAA